GCUCGUUUAUCUGGUGAAAAUAUAUUUGUUGUAAUCUCUCGAUUUGCUUUGAAAUGGUCAGUUAUCCUCAUGAAGUCGUUGAUUGAACCAAGAGCUAAAUAAAAUAGGUUUUUACCUGUUAGCUAGUAAAGGUUAUUUUGUCUGAGCUUUUGUGUGUAAAAGCAAUUGCAUGUUUUUUUAUUGGUUAGUGAAUUGAACUGGGUCCCUAAUUGAAUCACAGUAAUUAUGGCAGCUUUUUCACUCUGUCUCGUUUAUUGCCACGUUAGACUCAUCAAUGAAUUUCAGACAUGGGGCAAUUUAAGUGAAGCAAAAGGACGCCAUGUUUUACUAUUUGCAUCGUUCCUCACGUUACAUUGGCACGAAGAGACUUCCUUUCAGCAAAAUAAGUGAUUAACUUUCUGAUCCAAUAAAUGCUUGCUCUUUGAUUGCAAGCUUUUAUUUACCAUCAUACCUGAUGUUAUUCACAUUAUUGAUUAUGGUUGAUUACGGAUAAAGAGAGAAACUAACAUACUUAAAGAAUAAUUCAUUGAAUGAGAAAUUGAUGAAACAAACAAAAAAAAGGUUGCUUCAAGGCAUAAAGUUCAAGAAACCAUUAAGCGAUUCAACAUAAGAAAGAUGAAAAGAUCUCGCUAGAACUAGCAAAUGAUCAAACCAUCAUGAAUUCAUAAAACUGGUGGAUGAGGGCAACCAAUAAUGGAGUUUUUCAAUCAAGUCAACAAUUGAAUUUAUGGAUUUGAACAUAUUUGCUCAAAGCUGUUUCCCUUAACGCCAUGAUGCUGAUAGUGAUAACACUUUGGAAACUGGACAUGAUUGCUAUUAUUGAGGAAGGUACAAUAAGAGUAACUUUUUCAAUUAGUUAAAGAUGGGAACAGAGCUGGGUAUUUGAAUCGUUCAUUACAUUCUGCCCAUCAAUUUAUUUAUGAUGGAAAGUGAUACAAUUAUACUCAAGUCAACGAGUAAAAAGGAUAGCUUGAAGCAUGACAGCAAGAAAGAUGGAAUAUGAAAUUGGUGAACCAAAAACCAGAUAAAUGAAUACACAUUGUCAUAAAACUCAUGAUAAGCUCCCGUUCAUUUCAAUCUUAUAAUUGUCAGUGCUGAAGCUGUCUUGUUUUUGCAAACCUUUUACGCUCUGAUUGUUAAUUUAACAUUAUCAAAGAUGACUCGAAUAAUGAUCAUUAGAAAAAAGCAGGAUAACUACAUUAUAAUGCUCAUCUUUUGAUGGUAGCUGUUGCUUUCAGUGUUAUGGUAGCCAUCACAACCCACACAAAGUCACUUCAGUCAAGCAGGAGAAACGUUUUUAGAUGAAAUGAAAAAUUUAGAAGUAAAAGGAAAAGGAAAAACCAUGAACAAAGGAGGAACUUUGAUGCUGUUGAUGGUAAAAUUGAACGGAAAAAUUAUCCAAAUAUUAUAUAAGCAUGAUGUAACCAUGAUAUGAAGCUCAGUGGUCCUCAAGUGAUAACGACUUUCCCUCAUAACUUUCAUUCAUAUUCAUGGUUAAAAUAUGUUGCCUACAGACACAAAGUUUCACCAGAUAAUCAGUAUCAUGAUUAUAAGGGAAUCAAUCGUAAGAUACAAAACCAAGAAGAUUAAUUUAUCAUACAUUUAUGGCAAAAUGGAAGAAAUGUGCCUAAAAUGAAUGUGAAAUUGCUGGAAAAAAGGCCACACAUUGACACCAAUUGGAUAUGCAAUAUUAUCGAAGGAAUCGCGACCGAAACGGAAAUUAGGUUAAUGUUGUUACUGCUGUUGUGGAGUUGAAAAGCCGAAAGGAAAAUCUAUAACAAUAGAGUGUGCUGGCCUGAUUGUUAUUGUGUUUUCAAAAGAAUGCCAAAAAAUUGAAGUUGAACUGGCUAGUUGAAGUUUAUUUGUCAAAUCAUUUCACAGUGAGAAGAGGAUUAAGUUUUGUUUUCAAGCCUUCCUCUUUGGUGGAUAAUGCAUUGACAUUGACAUAACAAUCGACUAUUUGUUUUUGGCUUUGAUCAUCAAAAAGGAUAAGAUUGAAUCUAUUUUAUCAGCUUGAUCAUCUUCUACCUACCUCUACUGGAUCUUCUGUCUAUAAUUGAUAAAUCAAUAUAGAUGAAUAAAGAGACAGUAAAUGUAUGGUCAUUUGGUUUACCAAAAAGUAUAGAGAAAAAAACUCGUUCAACUAAAUUAUUGUUCAACAAUAUAUCAAGAAACAAUGAUGAACUAUAUCAUAAUGUAAUCUUGUUGACAGUAUCAGCAGUUGAGUUAUUCCCGGGACAUCAUCACCACUAUCAUCUUGUUCAUACUUUUACCAUCAUCAGUAUUUUGAUGAAACCAAAAGAAAAACAAUAUCAACUGUUAACAGUGCGACCCAUAAAUCAUGCCUAUCAACAAUAAUGAAAGAAACAUCGCUCAAUAUACAUUACAAACAAUGCAUAAUGAAAAUCCAACCUUGAUCAUGACGAGAUAACAAAUCCGAUCAGACACGUUUCUAAAUACCUGAUAAGAUAACUUGGACUAAAGACAAAAUACUAAUAAAAUUGGAGCUAAAAUUAAAAUCAUGGAAAGUGGUGGGAUAAUGAUAAGAAUCGGAAUUACUAGAAGAAAAAUGGAUUGAAGACCAUUUACGGUAGACCACAUAAAAGACUUGAAUUGUUGGAAUGCAUUUUAUAAAUAAAUGCGAGACUCACUAGAAUGGGAAAUGACAAUGAAGGAAAAGGACCAAAAAUAGUUAACCAUUUACAGUAAACCUACAAAUAACCAUGGAAAUCUAUGAAUUACAAAUAUUUCCAACUUUUCCAUUCUUUUUGUUUCGCUUACAGAGAGCUUCAUCUGUACUACCAAACAGUAGGAAAAACAAGCUUAAGGGAAGCGAGAAAAAAAGUUAUAUCUGUUGGUAUUGGAGGCGUUUUCCUUUCGCCAGAAAAGCAAAAAUAUCCACAACAAAAUACACGCCAUUAUGUAAUCACCAGUACAAAACAGCAAGUACAGGAUCAACCUUAAUUGACAAAAAAAACACGACUAAGUUUAGUCUCAAGAUAUAAAUAUAUCUCUUGAUUUUUCUUCUGAAAAAUUUCUCAAUGUUUACCAUCAAGCUUAUUGACUUACAUUUCUACAAGAUUUGAUUUUCUGUCCUCAAAAAUGGAACUUUGGAUUGGCGAAAAUCGUUUCUUCUGGAUUGAUUUAUAAAAGCUGAACAAAUAAUGGAAGCAGAAACAAUGCAAAACUGUGCAUUCAAAGAAACUCAUCCAAGUUUUCUUUGUCUUUAAACUCUACUUUUAACAAAAAAGUGUUUCCAGUUGACUGAAAAGCGUUUCCACUUUUCAGGUAUUUCAUGGUAAAAAAGAGAUAAUUUUAUAGUCUUUACACACAUCAAAAUUUUGACGAUUUUCAUUAGUAUGCAUUUAUGCAGAUACAUGAUAUCAUCAAUGUUAAUUUGAUAUAAUUUGUUGACUUGUAAGAUCAGCAUUUGGCUUGUUAAUCCUGAAUCUCAAUCCAAUUCUUAGUCUUUUAAUCCACUUAACAACUGAAUCUUGAUGAAAAUUUUUGACCACCGACGUUGAUUUCCAGCUGACUAUUAUUAAUGAAUCAAAACUGUACUCAUUAUGAAAUCAAUGGUUACACAGCGCUGUUACAAUUUCAAUUGAAACAA